ACCCGGAAGGACCCAGCUGAGGGUUUUCUCCGCCUUGGGCAAGGGGUAGAGCUGCGGGCGAACACAUUUGCACAGAAAUGCGUCAAGCCACCCCAGCAGGAUGGACGUUCAAGGACACAGCUCCGAGCGGAACCUGCAGGCCGAGACACACAAGAACCUUCAAAGCAUAGGGGUUUUUUUACAAGAGUGACACUCCGGCCGACCGACUUGAACUCACACUUUGUUUCUGUCCUUUCGCGCCCUGCGCCUUAAAUGGGUCGCAAAACAUCAAAUCAUGUGGGGACCUUAGACUUAUGUUGCUCAAGCGCAGAUGUUCCCCAGAUGAGGAACACCAGGGUUUCUGGAGAAGCUAAAUUCUAAUGUGUCCUUGCGAGGCGAGCAGGAUUUGAACCAGCAGAGAUGAGGAAAGGCAAGAGGUGUCUGAUAAGUCCUUCUGCCCGGCAUAGCCUCAGUCUCUCUGCCUCUCUGGUUAGACCCCAGCUGACCAACCACCUCGAGAUGAUAGCUCCCCUCAUCCCCCGCCCCAUUCCUCCUGCCCAAAGGGUGGAGGGCCUAAAAAAGCUGAAUUAAAAAAGGAAGAGAAAAAUAAUGUGUUGGUUAUAAAAACAGCAUUGCGCAUAUCUGUAAAAAUGGCUAAAAAUGAAAAUGAUGGAAAAUGCCACGUCACCCUCUGAGACGUCCCUAUACUGCUAAGGGGGGUAUCAACUAGUGCAGCCAGCCACUCGGGAACUGUUGGGCAGGAUCCACUGAAGUGGAGCACUGCUCAACAGCUGGGAGCUGACCUAUGGAAAAUGGCCAACUCUUCUCAGUUCACAGUGUCCUAAUACCCUUCAUCUCCUGCUGACUGCACGGCAAUUCUCAGGGAGGAGCAUGGAUUGUGUUCAUGUAUAAAGAAACACUGUUGAUGUGCAGAGGAAUGUGGAUGUGAUAGUUUCCAGCCUCUGGCAGACAGGGUCUUGCUAUUCGUCCAGGCUGGAGCAUCGCCUUACCAAAGGCUUGGAUUCCUGGGCUCAAGAAAUCCUACCACCUCAGACUCUAGAGUAGCUGGGACUACAGUCGAAAUCUUUCCUCAGAGGGGGCAAGAAAUGAAGUUGCUGCAGACCUACGUGGAUAAUUACCACCACUAGCAGAGGGGCGCAAGGGAGUCUCCUGAAGUACUGGAAGUUUCUAUAUCUUUUUCAGAGUGGUGCCUGACACAGCACAGCUAGAUGAGUCGGGAUGUGGCAGGAAGCAGGUGACACUGACAUAAGGUAACUGACCAUAGCUGCUUUUGUUUUUUGCCUUUAGAGGAAGAUGCUGAGAACACCUCCAUGUAUUAAAUUAGCUAUAGUAAAGUAUAGUUUACAU